rnacentral:rRNA from 1 species
AACCAGCUCUUCAAGUGGUCGGGACUUUUAUUGGGCUUAAAGUGUCCGUAGCCGGUUUGGUAAGUUCCUGGUUAAAUCUGGCAGCUUAACUGUCAGUCGGCUAGGAAUACUGCCUUACUAGAGGGUGGGAAAGGUCUGGGGUACUCCAGGGGUAGCGGUGAAAUGCGAUAAUCCUUGGGGGACCACCAGUGGCGAAGGCGCCAGACUGGAACACGCCUGACGGUGAGGGACGAAAGCCAGGGGAGCGAACGGGAUUAGAUACCCCGGUAGUCCUGGCUGUAAACGAUGCGUGCUAGGUGUUGGUAGGGCUAUGAGCCGUAUCAGUGCCGUAGGGAAACUGUUAAGCGCGCCGCCUGGGAAGUACGCUCGCAAGAGUGAAACUUAAAGGAAUUGGCGGGGGAGCACCACAAGGGGUGAAGCCUGCGGUUC